rnacentral:rRNA from 1 species
CCUACGGGAGGCAGCAGUGAGGAAUAUUGGUCAAUGGGCGCGAGCCUGAACCAGCCAAGUAGCGUGAAGGAUGACUGCCCUACGGGUUGUAAACUUCUUUUAUAAAGGAAUAAAGUGAGGCACGUGUGCCUUUUUGUAUGUACUUUAUGAAUAAGGAUCGGCUAACUCCGUGCCAGCAGCCGCGGUAAUACGGAGGAUCCGAGCGUUAUCCGGAUUUAUUGGGUUUAAAGGGAGCGUAGAUGGGUUGUUAAGUCAGUUGUGAAAGUUUGCGGCUCAACCGUAAAAUUGCAAUUGAUACUGGCGGUCUUGAGUACAGUUGAGGUAGGCGGAAUUCGUGGUGUAGCGGUGAAAUGCUUAGAGAUCACGAAGAACUCCGAUUGCGAAGGCAGCUUACUAAGCUGCCACUGACAUUGAUGCUCGAAAGUGUGGGUAUCAAACAGGAUUAGAUACCCUUGUAGUC